rnacentral:sRNA from 1 species
ACAACAAAAAUAAAAAACGGUAUCUCAAGAACAACAAUACGAAACGACUCUGACAUAACAAGAACAAGCACGGCAGAGACGGCGCAAACUGAUUUUUUUGGAGAGGAUUCGCGCUCCUGGGGUCUAGGCCCCGCAGCCGGACAGAGAACAAUAAAACUACCUCGAGGUAGCGCCCGGACUGGUUGGAUCACUUGGUGAUCAUCGCGAUAUCGGCGAUCAAAGAAAUACGUUUGCUCUUGGCCCCGGCUGGGGCCGACUGAAGCACUUUCUUCAGAGUGGCGGUCGACAAAAACAACAACAGAUCGAGCACAAGAAGAACAAAGCACAAAGUCGAUUUCGAGGGGAGCUCAGGCUCCCCUCUGUGCUUCGAGCGAUCCCCCUUUCCGGAAAACCCGGCUCA